GGCACAUUGGUGCACACAGCCAUGUUGCACGGCCGUGUCAUUCUUCGUUCACUUCUCUCACACCCCUGUAUGCCGGUGCACGCCCGUGUUGUUUUGAUAUGCUCGACCACGAUCGGUGGGUAUGGGUGUGUCGCACGCCCGUGUUAAUUUGGUAGGAUUGCCCACGGCCAUGUCGCACAGCCGUGGCAACUUAUCGAAUCCCG
rnacentral:lncRNA from 1 species